UGAGGCAUGGGCGGGGGGUGCCGGCCAGCCUGGGAAGGAGCUGGGAUAGACACCUGGGCUCGUCCUUCACACCUCCACGGAGAUGUCUUCACCGUCUGAGCCGAGAACACCUGCCCAGAGUCUUGCUUUGGGAAGAUAUAUUUGCAUAUCUGAAGUACCAGCUAUAAUAGAAAAGCCGCCGUGGAAACGUCUUCUUGGGGUGCCCCCGAUCGCAAUAACAGUCUGGGUGCACCAUGACAGCUUUCGCUAUGCACACAGUCACUUGGAAAGAAUCCAAUCCAUGAUCCCAAGCUGCCUUUAGUCAUCAUGGCUCCCAACUGUCUUCCAGUCUAAGAUGGUUUCUCCGUAUUUCCUUGCUUCCUCUGGCCUUGGAAGUUUUGAGGCGUGCUGGGUUGAAUUUCUCCACAAGAGCUACAGAAAAAAAUGGCAGUUCAAUUGGUGGCGAUUCAUUCAUUCAUUCAUUCUUCACUCAUUCAUUCAACACUUGCUGAGACACCUUCUCUGCUUCAGGCCCUGGCUUGGUCCUCACAUCAAAGAACUCACGGUUGGUGGCUGGACAUAUGUGGAGACAGACAUGUGACAAACUAAGUGCCGCAGGGAGGGGGACCCUGAGUCCCGCUGGCCCACACUGUCCUGGGUUUGCAUGGUCACAGCUUAUGGACAGAGACUAUGGGAGCUAUGACCAAAACACAGAGAGGGAGGUAAGGGGGUGUUCCCCGCCGUGUCAGGGCAGAGUCAGGUGUGUGAGGAGCAGGGGAAGGUUCCCUGAGCUCAUAGUGAGCCUGGCUGGGGCUGGACUGUGGGGAUGGAAUUCAGACUCAGCCCUAUGACCAAGUAUUUCCUAACGGCACCAGAGACAGGUUCUCUAGUGUCUGUUAUGCAAGGCAAAUUCUCGCUUUAAGUUUCCAUUCCAUUGAUGAUCUAAAAAUAUAUACAACUUAUUCUGGAUACAGGGACCACCUUUAGGAGAUAACAGCUGUGCAGCCUCAGGGGCUGAGUCCAGCUUUCUGAUCAGGCUCAUGUGGAUGCUCCACGGGGAGUGUUGCUGGUGGCCGAGAGGCUGGCCCACCGGAACCUCUGAAGAGCAAGGCUCGCCCCACGCUUGGCACUCAUCCUCAUGCCGCAUUCUCCUGCCAGUUGUAAAGACAACACUUCUCUGGGAGUGACAACUCAUAAUUGAAGGAGGCUUAUGUAAGAUAAGAUUUGAGUUGAAGUUUCAUAGACUAGACUUUGUUUUGACAUCCUGAAAGAACAGAAUGUCAGGGAGUGGAAUGCUGUGUGAGUUGUUGAGGCAAAUGAGGAAGGCCAGUGGAAGCAGACUGCAGGCAAACGACACCUGCAUGCCAAGCCAGGCCAAGAGAGGCUGUUGCACGUUCUAGAAGCAGAGAUUUCUUUGCCCUUGCACACAGGGAAGCAGCAGCAGGUCACGGUGCCUGUCAGGACAUAGCGGGGGCCCAUGGAACCCCAAGGAACUGGCCCAUACAUGCCUCUGAUGCUCUGACUCACAGAAGGCCAUCAGCAGUGAGGAGAAAAUACAGAAUGACUUUUGGAAAGCAAUCGGCUUUUUUUUACAGUAUUGAAUUUUGGAUGCAUGACUAACAUCUGACAAGCCUAUCAUAAUAACUGAGUGGGGACUUAAAUGAGUUCAUGGUUGAAAAGAAAAAGCCAGCAGUAGCAAUAAGGACAGUAACACAGUGAAGGUUUAUCACUCUCAAAAUCAAAGAAUUAACUAAAAAAAAAAGGGAACGCCAAUAUGUGUGACAACCAACAUGCGUGUUUUGGCUUCAGCAAAACGUUACAUUAAAUCAAUGAACAACAUUUGAAUAUUACUGAUUUCAGAUUUUUUAUACUUAAUUUACAAGUGUUUUUUAAUAGGCUCUAACUUAAAGAGUUUACACCUGGUUUCAUUUGUGCAUUUUAAGGUCAUGAUUAUGAUAAAAGUAAUUUAUAUUAAUAUUGGAGGCUCUCAAAGAAAACAUUUUCCUUUAAAAGGAGUCUGUAUAUUAGUCAUGUGUUGGGGGAGCUAAAAAGCCAAGGAGUGACAUGGUCAGAUGUAUUUUCCUGUAAUGUAAAAUGUUGAAUAAACAAGAUGUAACUGGGCCGGGUGUGUUGGGUCACACCUGAUCCUAGCACUCUGGGAGGCUGAGGUGGGCAGAUCUCUUGAGAUCAGGAGUUUGAGACCAGCCUGGCCAACAUGGUGAAACCCGUCUGUACCAAAAAAUACAAAAACAUUCAGGCAUGGUGAUGCAUGCCUGUAAUCCCAGCUACUUGGGAGGCUGAAGUGGGAGAAUCACUUGAACCUGGAAGACGGAGGCUGCAGUGAGCUGAGAUCAUACCACUGUACUCCAGCCUGUGUGACAGUAAGACCCUGUUUCAAAAACAAACAAACAAACAAAAAACCAAAAAACAACAAAACAACAAAAAACAAAAAAACCAAGAUGCAAUAUUUACUGGAAGUAUAAAUCCCACUGGUUUAAUUUUAAAAGUUUACCAAAGUGAUACAUGCUGAAAAACGAAACAACAUCAAAGAGUGAAUGUUGAUGGGAAUGGAGCCCCAGGAGUGUCCCCUUCAUCCCGCCCUCCUCCACCUUUUCCAUUUCCUUCUGCAGUCAGAGUCUGUGAACAUUCACACUCUGCCCAGGGUGGCAACCACUGU
ensembl:lncRNA EFCAB6-AS1 EFCAB6 antisense RNA 1